GACGAACGCUGGCGGCAUGCCUAAUACAUGCACGUAGAACGCAGUUUCGAACGGGUGAGUAACGCGUAGGUAACUGCCUCAUAGCGGGGGAUAACUUAUGGAAACGAUAACUAAUAACGCAUUCUUUUACAUGGACCUGCGUGGUAUUAGCUAGUUGGUGAGGGAAAGGCUCACCAAGGCGACUAUACAUAGCCGACCUGAUAGGGUGAGCGGCCACACGGGGACUGAGACACGGCCCAGACUCCUACGGGAGGCAGCAGGAGGGAAUCUUCGGCAAUGGACGAAAGUCUGACCGAGCCACGCCGCGUGAGUGAAGAAGGUUUUCGGAUCGUAAAACUCUGUUGUUAGAGAAGCGGUAUCUAACCAGAAAGCCACGGCUAACUACGUGCCAGCAGCCGCGGUAAUAC
rnacentral:rRNA from 1 species